rnacentral:rRNA from 2 species
UACGAAGGGGGCUAGCGUUGUUCGGAAUUACUGGGCGUAAAGCGCACGUAGGCGGCAUUCCAAGUUGGAGGUGAAAUCCCCGGGCUUAACCUGGGAACUGCCUCCAAAACUGGGAAGCUAGAGUCCGAGAGAGGUGAGUGGAAUUUCCAGUGUAGAGGUGAAAUUCGUAGAUAUUGGAAAGAACACCAGUGGCGAAGGCGGCUCACUGGCUCGGUACUGACGCUGAGGUGCGACAGCGUGGGGAGCAAACAGG